rnacentral:tRNA from 1 species
ACUUGAAUAGCUUAUUUUAGAGCGCGACACUGAAGAUGUCGAUGAGGUAUUAUUAUCUUUGAGUG